AACGAACGCUGGCGGCAUGCCUAACACAUGCAAGUCGAACGAGACCUUCGGGCCUAGUGGCGCACGGGUGCGUAACGCGUGGGAACCUGCCCUUAGGUUCGGAAUAACUCCCCGAAAGGGGUCCUAAUACCGGAUAAUGUCUUCGGACCAAAGAUUUAUCGCCUUUGGAUGGGCCCGCGUUGGAUUAGCUAGUUGGUAGGGUAAAAGCCUACCAAGGCGACGAUCCAUAGCUGGUCUGAGAGGAUGAUCAGCCACACUGGGACUGAGGCCCGGCCCAGACUGCGACGGGAGGCAGCAGUGGGGAAUAUUGGACGAUGGGCGAAAGCCUGAUCCAGCAAUGCCGCGUGAGUGAUGAAGGCCUUAGGGUUGUAAAGCUCUUUUACCCGGGAUGAUAAUGACAGUACCGGGAGAAUAAGCUCCGGCUAACUCCGUG
rnacentral:rRNA from 1 species